rnacentral:rRNA from 1 species
AUGAACGCUGGCGCCGUGCCUAACACAUGCAAGUCGAACGGGACUACCUGGAGAUGUUUCGGACUGAUCCUUAUAGUUUAGUGGCGGACGGGUGAGUAACGCGUGGACAACCUGCCUUCACAGGGGGAUAGCAGCUGGAAACGGCUGGUAAUACCGCAUACGCUCAUGCCACCGCAUGGUGGUGUGAGGAAAGAUUUAUCGGUGAAAGAUGGAUCCGCGUCUGAUUAGCCAGUUGGCGGGGUAACGGCCCACCAAAGCGACGAUCAGUAGCCGGCCUGAGAGGGCGGACGGCCACAUUGGGACUGAGACACGGCCCAGACUCCUACGGGAGGCAGCAGUGGGGGAUAUUGCACAAUGGGCGCAAGCCUGAUGCAGCGACGCCGCCGUGAGUGAAGAAGUAUUUCGGUAUGUAAAGCUCUAUCAGCAGGGAAGAAAGACCCGCAAGGGGGAUGACGGUACCUGACUAAGAAGCCCCGGCUAACUACGUGCCAGCAGCCGC